CCUACGGGGGGCUGCAGUGGGGAAUAUUGGACAAUGGGGGCAACCCUGAUCCAGCCAUGCCGCGUGUGUGAAGAAGGCCCUCGGGUUGUAAAGCACUUUCAGUGAGGAAGAACGCCUGGUGGUUAAUACCCAUCAGGAAAGACAUCACUCACAGAAGAAGCACCGGCUAACUCCGUGCCAGCAGCCGCGGUAAUACGGAGGGUGCGAGCGUUAAUCGGAAUUACUGGGCGUAAAGCGCGCGUAGGUGGCUUGAUAAGCCGGUUGUGAAAGCCCCGGGCUCAACCUGGGAACGGCAUCCGGAACUGUCAAGCUAGAGGGCAGGAGAGGAAGGUAGAAUUCCCGGUGUAGCGGUGAAAUGCGUAGAGAUCGGGAGGAAUACCAGUGGCGAAGGCGGCCUUCUGGACUGACACUGACACUGAGGUGCGAAAGCGUGGGUAGCAAACAGGAUUAGAUACCCGUGUAGUC
rnacentral:rRNA from 1 species